rnacentral:rRNA from 1 species
UACAGAGGGUGCAAGCGUUGUUCGGAAUUAUUGGGCGUAAAGCGCGUGUAGGCGGCUUGGCAAGUCGGGUGUGAAAUCCCUCAGCUCAACUGAGGAAGUGCGCCCGAAACUGCUUCGCUUGAGUGCCAGAGAGGAUGGCGGAAUUCCCCAAGUAGAGGUGAAAUUCGUAGAUAUGGGGAGGAACACCGGUGGCGAAGGCGGCCAUCUGGCUGGUAACUGACGCUGAGACGGCGAAAAGCGUGGGUAGCAAACAGG